rnacentral:misc_RNA from 1 species
UUUCGUAGGUGAACUGCGGAGGAUCAUUAAUAAAUUUUUUUUUGAAAUAAAAAAAAUAUAAUCAUCCUACCUUUGUGAAUUGUUUGUUUGAAUAAUUUUUAAAAUUAUUUAUUGUCUAUCCAAGUUGGAAGUUGUAAAGACUCGAAGACUUGAGCGGCAUAAUAAGUUUAAAGACUUUUUUUAAAAUUAACUUUUGUAUUCAUUUGUCUAAAUAAUUUUAUAAUAUAUAAAAACAACUUUUGACAAUGGAUCUCUGGUUCUCGCAACGAUGAAGAACGCAGCAAAAUGCGAUAAGUAAUGUGAAUUGCAGAAUACGUGAAUCAUCGAAUCUUCGAACGCAUAUUGCACUUUUAGUUCCAAAAAAGUAGUCUGUUUGAGUAUCAGUAAAUAUUCUCAUAAAAUUUUUAAUUUUAUGGUUAUGAGUGUUUUACAACGAUAACAGUUGUUUCACUUUAAAUUGAUUUUUUGAAGAAUUCUUAAUUCAAAUUAAAUUUGGAUAAAAUUUUCCCGUAAAAGGAAUAACUAUACAAGUUUAUAAGAAUUAGUGAUUUCUUUUAUGAAAGGAAAUUUAUUAAAUAACUUGAUCUCAAAUCAGAUAAGAUACCCGCUGAACUUAAGCAUAUAAUAAGCGAGGAAAAGAAACUAACAAGGAUUCCCUAGUAACGGCGAGUGAAGCGGGAAGAGCUCAAAUUUGAAUCUUAAAGGGUUUCCCUUUACGAAUUGUAGUUAUAAAGAAGUGUUUCCUGUUGAGGUUUUGGUAAAGUUCUUUGGAAUAGGACAUCAUAGGGGUGAGAAUCCGUAUUUACCUUUACUUUCAACUUUGUGAUACACUUUCAAAGAGUCGGAUUGUUUGGGAAUGCAGUCCAAAAUGGUGGUAAAUUUCAUCUAAAGCUAAUAUUGGCGAGAGACGAUAGCGAACAAGUACCGUGAGGGAAGAUGAAAAGAACUUUGAAAAGAGAGUUAAACAGUACGUGAAAUUGUCAAAAGGGAAGCGUUGACACCAGUGUUGUUUUUCUGAAAUCAAUUAAAGAACUGUUUAUGCUAAGUUGUUUAGACUUUAUCAGCUAACUGUUAGUUUGAGCUUUUCUUAAUGCAUUUCAGUUAACAAGUCACAUCAAUUCUUUUGCUGUAAAAAAGCUUGAGGAGGUGGCUUGAGAUCGUCUUAAGUGUUUAUAGCCUCUUGCCUAUGCAGUCGGAGAGAUUGAGGUGCAGCGUAGAUCCUUCGGGCUAAAUGCAUUUGUGCUAGUUAUAGCAUUUUAUAGACAACUUGUUGAUAUGAUUGUCUUGUAGUUACUCGCUUAUGUUAUUUACCUACUUAGAUGU